rnacentral:SRP_RNA from 1 species
GCUGGGCGUGUUGCCGCGCGCCUGUAAUCCCAGCUACUUAGGAGGCUGAGGCAGGAGAAUCGCUUGAACCCAGGAGGCAGAGGUUGCAGUGAGCCGAGAUCGUGCCACUGCACUCCAGCCUGGGCGACAGAGUGAGACUCCGUCUCAU